rnacentral:rRNA from 1 species
AGCGAACGCUGGCGGCAGGCCUAACACAUGCAAGUCGAACGAACUCUUCGGAGUUAGUGGCGGACGGGUGAGUAACACGUGGGAACGUGCCUUUAGGUUCGGAAUAACUCAGGGAAACUUGUGCUAAUACCGAAUGUGCCCUUCGGGGGAAAGAUUUAUCGCCUUUAGAGCGGCCCGCGUCUGAUUAGCUAGUUGGUGAGGUAAAAGCUCACCAAGGCGACGAUCAGUAGCUGGUCUGAGAGGAUGAUCAGCCACAUUGGGACUGAGACACGGCCCAAACUCCUACGGGAGGCAGCAGUGGGGAAUCUUGCGCAAUGGGCGAAAGCCUGACGCAGCCAUGCCGCGUGAAUGAUGAAGGUCUUAGGAUUGUAAAAUUCUUUCACCGGGGACGAUAAUGACGGUACCCGGAGAAGAAGCCCCGGCUAACUUCGUG